GGUGUUGAAGGAAGAAAACAAAACUGCAUUUUCAGAUUUUUUGGGGCAGUUGUUGCAAUAGUGCGUUUCCUUUUGAACUUGAUAGCUCGUUAAUAGUUAUUCCGCAAGGAACAAUAAUUGACGAUGGGAGUCACGGUAGAAGUUGAGUAUUGUGGUAUGUGAGGUUACGAACCUCGCUUCAAGGAAUUGGAGCGACAGGUUCUUCAAGCCGUACCCGAUGCUACUGUCAGAGGAGCAGUUGGAAGGAAAUCUUCUUUUGAAGUUGUGAUCGAUGAUGUUGAAGUAUUUUCAAAAUUGAAGGUGGGGAAGUUUCCCAACAUUCAAGAGGUUGUUGAGAUUGUAAAGGCUGCUAAUAAUGGUGAAGAAAUCACAACUGUGACUGGAACAGAGGGCAUGUGCAUCAUUUCAUAAUGUACAUAUUGUAAAUGAGAUCUAAUCUGCAUUCAGUCUGAUAGCAGAUAAAUGACAAUUCAUCUGUAAGGGUCUCCUGGAUGAAUAUUGAUGAUAACUCUGUUGUCUGGUUGGAUGCUUCCUGGAUUCUCAUUUACAAUCCUGCUUUUUACAAAACUUAUUUAUUUAUUCAUUAUGUGAUGAUUUUAGCUGAAUAAAGAUUAUAUUAUUUCUUGGGAAAA